UACGGAGGGUGCAAGCGUUAUCCGGAUUCAUCUGGGUUAAAGGGUAGCGUAGGAGGGUAGGUAAGUUCAGUGGUGAAAUCUUCGAGCUUAACUCGGAAACUGCCGUUGAUACUAUCUAGUCGUUGAAUACCGUGGAGGUGAGCGGAAUAUGUCAUGUAGCGGUGAAAUGCUUAGAUAUGACAUAGAACACCAAUUGCGAAGGCAGCUCGCUACACGAAAUAUUGACUCGUGAGGCACG
rnacentral:rRNA from 1 species